rnacentral:rRNA from 1 species
UUACGGAAGGCAGCAGUGAGGAAUUUUCCACAAUGGGCGCAAGCCUGAUGGAGCAAUGCCGCGUGGAGGAUGACGGCCUUCGGGUUGUAAACUCCUUUUAUAUGUGAAGAUUAUGACGGUAACAUAUGAAUAAGCAUCGGCUAACUACGUGCCAGCAGCCGCGGUAAUACGUAGGAUGCAAGCGUUAUCCGGAAUUACUGGGCGUAAAGCGUGUGUAGGUGGUUUGUUAAGUUGAAUGUUAAAUCUACGGGCUCAACUCGUGGGCUGCAUUCAAUACUGGCAGACUUGAAGACGGAAGAGGUAAGCGGAAUUAGUGGUGGAGCGGUGAAAUGCGUAGAUAUCACUAAGAACACCAAUGGCGAAGGCAGCUUACUGGGACGUUCUUGACACUGAGACACGAAAGCGUGGGGAGCGAACAGGAUUAGAUACCCUAGUAG